rnacentral:tRNA from 1 species
GCGUCGGUGGUGUAAAGGUUAGCAUGAUUGCCUUUCAAGCAGCCGAUCCGGGUUCGAUUUCUCGCCCGACGCA